UGUUUGUAUAGUGUGUGUAUAUAAUGCAGUGUGUUUGUGUAGUGUGCAUUAUAUAAACACACUACACAAACACACUGCAUUAUAUACACACACUGCAUUAAA